GCUUCGGGAUUCUUGUUUGGGAAGAUGGGUUUUGUGAUUUUUACGAAUGCAAAAGAGCUGGAAACGUAAAGGGAAGGUUUGGAGCUGAUGUGUUCUUUAAAACGUCCCAUGAGGUGUACAGUUAUGGUGAAGGAAUGGUAGGUCAAGGAAAGUUGCAGCAGAUAAUAGUCACAAAUGGGUGUUUAAAGAUAACCCAUCUGAGAAUGAUUCUAGCUUCAUCACCUCAUGGAAUGUGUCAAUUGACCCACAACCAAGGGCGUGGCAAUUUCAGUUCCAUUCUGGAAUUCAGACAAUAGCCCUCAUUUCGAUUAGAGAAGGCAUAAUUCAAUUCCACUCAUUUGAUAAGAUUAUUGAAGAUCUCAAUCUGGUGAUAAGCAUACAGAGGAAAUUCAGCUACAUACAGCGCAUACCAGGCAUCUAUGCCAUUCAGAGACCAUACCAAUUCCAACCCAUUUAACAUCCAUACACAUUCAAACCCAUCAACAACCACGCUGCAUUUGAAUCCCAUGAUGACAAGUGCCACCACUUAACCGGAACAAAGAGAUUACUCUACGGCGGCAAAUAGGAAGAGGAGCCACCUCUCAAAUCCCUCAACCUAGGCUACAACACCACCACCACUUCAGGCGGCGGAGCACCACCACAACCACCACCACCUC